rnacentral:rRNA from 1 species
GAUGAACGCUGGCGGCGUGCCUAAUACAUGCAAGUCGAGCGAACGGACGAGAAGCUUGCUUUUCUGAUGUUAGCGGCGGACGGGUGAGUAACACGUGGAUAACCUACCUAUAAGACUGGGAUAACUUCGGGAAACCGGAGCUAAUACCGGAUAAUAUUUUUAACCGCAUGGUUCAAAAGUGAAAGACGGUCUUGCUGUCACUUAUAAAUGUAUCCGCGCUGCAUUAGCUAGUUGGUAAGGUAACGGCUUACCAAGCCAACGAUGCAUAGCCGACCUGAGAGGGUGAUCGGCCACACUGGAACUGAGACACGGCCCAGACUCCUACGGGAGGCAGCAGUAGGGAAUCUUCCGCAAUGGGCGAAAGCCUGACGGAGCAACGCCGCGUGAGGGAUGAAGGUCUUCGGAUCGUAAAACUCUGUUAUUAGGGAAGAACAUAUGUGUAAGUAACUGUGCACAUAUUGACGGUACCUAAUCAGAAAGCCACGGCUAACUACGUG